rnacentral:piRNA from 1 species
UGNGCUAACAGAAGAAUCUUAUCUGCUU